AUAACGGUCCUAAGGUAGCGAAAUUCCUUGUCGGGUAAGUUCCGACCCGCACGAAUGGUGUAACGAUCUGGGCACUGUCUCAACUACCCACCCGGCGAAAUUGUAGUACCGGUGAAGAUGCCGGUUACCUGCGGCAAGACGGAAAGACCCCAUGGAGCUUUACUGUAGCCUGAUAUUGGGUUUCGGAAAUCUAUGUACAGGAUAGGCGGGAGACUGGGAAGUAUGAGCGUCAGCUUAUACGGAGUCGUUGUUGGGAUACCGCCCUUAGGUUUCUGGAAUUCUAACCUGCGACCGUGAAUCCGGUCGGGGGACAUUGUCAGGUGGGCAGUUUGACUGGGGCGGUCGCCUCCGAAAAGGUAACGGAGGCGCUCAAAGGUUGGCUCAGCACGGACGGAAACCGUGCCUCAGAGUGUAAACGCAAAAGCCAGCCUAACUGCGAGGAUGACGGUCCGAGCAGUAACGAAAGUUGGAGUUAGUGAUCCGGCGGUAUGUGAAUGGAAAUGCCGUCGCUCAACGGAUAAAAGCUACCCUGGGGAUAACAGGCUGAUCUCCCCCAAGAGUCCACAUCGACGGGGAGGUUUGGCACCUCGAUGUCGGCUCAUCACAUCCUGGGGCUGUAUUCGGUCCCAAGGGUUCGGCUGUUCGCCGAUUAAAGUGGUACGCGAGCUGGGUUCAGAACGUCGCGAGACAGUUCGGUCCCUAUCUGUCGUGGGCGCAGGAUAUUUGAGGAGCUCUGUCCUUAGUACGAGAGGACCGGGAUGGACGUACCUCUGGUGCACCAGUUGUCAUGCCAAUGGCACGGCUGGGCAGCUACGUACGGAACGGAUAAACGCUGAAAGCAUCUAAGCGUGAAGCCGACUCCAAGAUUAGAUAUCCCAUUGCAUAAGCAAGUAAGACCCCUUGAGGACUACGAGGUUGAUAGGCUGCGUGUGUAAGUGUCGUGAGGCAUUUAGCUUGGCAGUACUAAUAGGUCGAGGGCUUGACCAC
rnacentral:rRNA from 1 species